rnacentral:lncRNA from 1 species
CGGCAGGAAAGAAGGAGAAGGCGAUUUCCACCCCAUUUGUUGACAACAAUCGAUCAUACGAAGACGCUAAACACGAAAUAGGUAAGUUACGGCUAAAAUCCAAUGGUUGAAUGCCUUUUUUCAGAGCAUGCAAGGGCGAUGGAAUUGUAUGAUUUUUUAUUUUUUUUGUGUUUUUUCUUCGAAUUUUUUUAAGAUGAAGCAUGAAUGUAGCCC